CCUCCUCCUCCGGCGAGCGCCCCCACCCGCCGCCGCGCUCCACCGCAAGCACGAGCUCGGCCGCCGCGGCACAGCCGGGGAGGGCGCCGCACCUCACGAGACAGGCGCACGGGGCUGGGAGAGGCGGCGGUCGGCAAGUGUCCCAUCGACCUCGAGGCGCAGCUCCACCGGAUGCUCCGCGAGUGGCGCUGACCCGACCUCAGUGUUCCCUCCCCCGGCUGUUCUGAAGGCGGCGCGGCGGAAGUAGUCUCCGUCUGGAGAGGAAGGAGGGGGACGGGCAGAGCGGCGGCGGCGGCGUCCCCUCACGGGCUGAUCUAACGGGAGAGACGAGGGUGAGCUGCGGCGGAAGGGAGAGGCGCCGCCUCCCGUCGUAGGACUCGCCGUCUUCGUCCUCAUCCCCUGUUUCUGCGUCUCGGGCUCGUUUGUGGGAAUUUCGAGGCAAUCUGCACGGUAUGUUUCGACCACCUGGUGCUUUCGGAGCUGCGCCGCCGCCGCUGCAGCAGCCUCAGCCGUGGCAGUGGCAGCAGCCUUUCCAACCGCCGGCCGCUACAUCCUUUUGGCAGCAGGACAAUGUACAGGAGCAUAUGGGGAGGCUACAGGAAACUAUCGAUUUAGCCAGUGCAGUGAUAAAUGAGCUCGAGGAAAUUGCGCUGGCUAGAAACUCAAGCGAUGCUACCGCACAAGAACAUGACUUGUCUUCAGCAAAAUCAUCGUCAGAACAUGAUGGUUUUUCUGCAGAGAAGCCCCGGUGUUUUGUUGAGCUUGCUAGAGCUAUGGAGAUUAGUCAAGACACUCAUGAGUCUCUGGCCACAGAUGCUGCUAAUUAUCUUUGUUCUCAACUUCAAAACCUUCUUGCACCUAUUUAUCCUGCUGUUAACCAAGGGGGUCCUUGGGAAGAAAUGUCUGCAAUGAUCAGGUUAUCUCAGAAGCUGCAGAAAUCCAAGAGAAAUAAGCGAUGGAGAAGGAAAAAAAGAAAGCAUGUAGCGGAGCUUUACCAGAAGGAGCAUGCAGAUUAUGACAGAAUUGAUCAGGAAGCUGAUGAAUGGAGGGCUAGGCAAAUAGCCAAGGAUAUUGCGCAACGCAAGGUGGAAAACAUGAAGCAAAUUGCCAAGAAAAAAGCAAAUGAGGAAAGAAAGCGACUAGAAUCUGAGCUUGAGCUUGCCCUAAUGGUCGAGAAACUACAGGAGCUUCGUUCUAUAAGAGUUCAAAAACUGAAGAAACAAGGUCAUUUUCUGCCAGAUGAAGAUGAUAAAUAUCUUGAGCGUGUUAAGGCUGCAGUUGAGGAAGAGGAGCGCCAAGCUGCAAGUGCUGCUCGGACUGAUGCUGCCAAGGAUGCUAUUCUGACCGCUGAAGAGUCGAGGAAGGCUGUGCAAUGUACAGAUUCAAGAGAAGAUGGUUCUGAACAAGCCAAAAGUGCAUCAACACUGGAGCAGAACCAGAUAGAGGCAGGAAUUAGCGAUAGAAGUCAUCAUGCAAGUCAAAAAACAGAGCAUGAGAAUCAUAAAGAUGAGGGAAAAGGGCAUGGGCAUUAUGACUCUGUUUCUAGCCUGCCUUUUGAGUUCUACCAUUAUUAUCAUGGAAGCAGCUAUGACAUGGGAACACUCAUUGAGGUCCGCAGGAUGUGGGAUUCCUUUAUCAGAACUGGGGGAAGCCGCAUACCUGGGCACUGGGUUCAGCCACCCCCUCCAUCUGAUGAAGUAUGGGCAUCAUAUUUGGUGCAGCCCAAGUAAAUCCAGUUAUCUGUAAGGAAUUUAAUCUUCUUCUGCCUAACCACUGGAAUCUUUCAAGGCUACCACAAGUCAAGCUAGCAGCAUUUUGGGUGUAUGCCCCCACAGCUCAACUACCAGUUAGGAGUUCAGCUUUUCUCUGUGCUGAGCCAUAUAGAUGAGGCCUCGAGAAAAAGAUGACCAACGAAAAAAUCGUGGACACCAUUAUGAGAAAACAAGAGGUUAGUGAAUUGGAUGGCAUUAGCACCCAGUACUAGAUUAUCUUUUUUUUAUAUUUUUAUAUUUAGAGUAAUAAGGAAACGGCAUAAUGCCUACUGCCUUUCUACUUGUGCUUGCUUGCUCCUCCAUUUUCUUAUCUCUUUGAGGUGAUCAGUGAUUAAACAGACCAACAACUCAAUACUAAUCUCCGCAGUGACAAAUUUGAUGAUCCUUGCAAUUAGGGAAAGAUAUCCUAUUGCUUUCAUGAAAAAUAGUGCUGCUUUAGUCAUUGAGGAAUUAUUGGUUGCACUUGAUUUAUAGGCCUAAUA